AUACUUAACUGGCAGGGAGAUACCAUGGUUAUGAAGGGUGGUUUUCCCAGGGCAAGGUUUAUCCUUCGGAUUGCUGACACCUGCAGCUUCCUGGUGGCAGAGUCC
rnacentral:snRNA from 1 species